UACAGAGGUCUCAAGCGUUGUUCGGAUUCAUUGGGCGUAAAGGGUGCUUAGGCGGUCGGGUAAGUCUGACGUGAAAUCCCGCAGCUCAACUGCGGAACUGCGUCGGAUACUAUUCGGCUUGAGGAAUGGAGGGGAGACUGGAAUUCUCGGUGUAGCAGUGAAAUGCGUAGAUAUCGAGAGGAACACCAGUGGCGAAGGCGAGUCUCUGGACAUUUCCUGACGCUGAGGCACGAAAGCCAGGGGAGCAAACGGG
rnacentral:rRNA from 1 species